AUUGAACGCUGGCGGCAUGCUUUACACAUGCAAGUCGAACGGCAGCGCGGGCUUCGGCCUGGCGGCGAGUGGCGAACGGGUGAGUAAUGCAUCGGAACGUUCCCAGUAGUGGGGGAUAGCCCGGCGAAAGCCGGAUUAAUACCGCAUACGACCUGAGGGUGAAAGCGGGGGACCGAAAUGCCUCGCGCUCUUGGAUCGGCCGAUGUCGGAUUAGCUAGUUGGUGGGGUAAAGGCUUACCAAGGCGACGAUCCGUAGCUGGUCUGAGAGGACGACCAGCCACACUGGGACUGAGACACGGCCCAGACUCCUACGGGAGGCAGCAGUGGGGAAUUUUGGACAAUGGGGGCAACCCUGAUCCAGACAUGCCGCGUGCGGGAAGAAGGCCUUCGGGUUGUAAACCGCUUUUGUUCGGGAAGAAAUCCUCUGGGCUAAUACCCCGGGGGGAUGACGGUACCGGAAGAAUAAGCACCGGCUAACUACGUG
rnacentral:rRNA from 1 species